rnacentral:misc_RNA from 1 species
GAUGAAGAACGUAGCGUAAUGCGAUACGUAAUGUGAAUUGCAGAAUUCAGUGAAUCAUCGAAUCUUUGAACGCAUAUUGCGCUCUUUGGUAUUCCGAAGAGCAUGCUUGUUUGAGUAUCAGUAAACACCUCAAAGCUUUUGGAUUUUUUAAUCGAAAAGCUUUGGACUUGAGCAAUCCCAACACCAAUCUUUUUGAGAUCGGUGGCGGGUUGCUUGAAAUGCAGGUGCAGCUGGACAUUCUCCUGAGCUAAAAGCAUAUUCAUUUAGUCCCGUCAAACGGAUUAUUACUUUUGCUGCAGCUAACAUAAAGGGAGUUUGACCGUAUUGGCUGACUGAUGCAGGAUUUCACAAGGGUCGGCAACGAUUCUUGUUAAACUCGAUCUCAAAUCAAGUAAGACUACCCGCUGAACUUAAGCAUAUCAAUAAGCGGAGGA